rnacentral:rRNA from 1 species
AUUGAACGCUGGCGGCAGGCCUAACUCAUGCAAGUCGAACGAGUGGCGGACGGGUGAGUAAUGUCUGGGAAACUGCCUGAUGGAGGGGGAUAACUACUGGAAACGGUAGCUAAUACCGCAUACCAUCGGAUGUGCCCAUAUGGGAUUAGCUAGUAGGUGGGGUAAUGGCUCACCUAGGCGACGAUCCCUAGCUGGUCUGAGAGGAUGACCAGCCACACUGGAACUGAGACACGGUCCAGACUCCUACGGGAGGCAGCAGUGGGGAAUAUUGCACAAUGGGCGCAAGCCUGAUGCAGCCAUGCCGCGUGUGUGAAGAAGGCCUUAGGGUUGUAAAGUACUUUCAGCGGGGAGGCGUUACCCGCAGAAGAAGCACCGGCUAACUCCGUGCCAGCCGCCGCGGUAAUAC